GGUUUUUUUAUUUUGUUUUUAAUUUUUUCCAGUAAAAGGAAUCAAUCAUGGUCGGUCUUCCACACAAAGUCAAACAGUGCCCCGUUUAUUUUGGCCAUCCAUUUCAAUUUUGGAAUGUUCGACAGCAUUGCGAUAUGGCCUCUUCUAUAAAUGUUGAAGAUAUGAAGAAGCUAUCAGAUAUAGUAGACUACGAUACUGUACAUCUACAAAAAGCUAUAAUAAAUCGUGUCGAUGAGAGAGUAAGAGAGAUGUUGACAAAAGAAGAAAGGGAAUUAUGACAGAGACGAGAAAAACUCAAACUUCUUUUACAAGGAGAAGAACAAAGUCUGUUACAAGAACUAUUAACGAAGCAAUCUAUGAAAGAUUGUGAUUAUUGCAAAGAAAGAGAGAGCAAGUUAAAAGAAUACGAAGAAGAAAUAGAAAAGGAGAAGAUUAUAGCAUGCAAAAGGGCGUUAGAAAGAGAAAAAAUUGCAAAUGGCAUGCAGUGCACAAGAAAAGACAACAUACAGCUACAAGCAAUGCAAAAGUUGCAAAUGGAAGAGAAGGAAUAUAUACAAAAAGUAGAAGAAAAACUGGAAAGCACUUGGCAUCAAGUUCUAAUCAACGACGUACGA